ACUAAAUAUGGAAAACUAUUUACAUUGAUUAUAGAUUAAUAUGGCAAACAGUACGGCAACGGAUGUUGGUCACAUUGCCAAAUUUGACGGCUCGAAUUUCCCGUCCUGGAAAUACGGUGUGUGGAUGCUCCUUGAGAAGAAUAGGCUGAUUUCUAUAGUUGAUGGGAGUGAGAGACUGCCCGAGCAGGUUCGGAAUGAAGCCGGGGCAGUACAGAACUAUAAUACAAUUGAUGACUGGAAGCAAAAAGACGUCGAGGCCAGAACACUCAUCUACUCGACAAUGAAGCCAGAGAAACAAACAACACUCCAAAGCUGUACAACAGCAUUCGAAAUGUGGAGCAGAAUCCAAACGGAAUAUGACUUAGUCUCAGCUGAAAGUGAACCCCUUCUGUGGGGUCAGUUCUAUGGCUACAGAUUUCGGGCAGGUAAAAACAAUUGAUGGAAUAAAAAAAAUUUGUGAUACGA